rnacentral:lncRNA from 1 species
UUUUGUCUUUUUCUUUAAAAGUGCUUUUAGGGUGUGUUUCUUGUGCAUGCAGGAGACAAUACAUACUAGAAGCAGGAAAAACCAACAACCUUUGUUAGAAGGUCUACCAUACGUGAGGAGGAAGAGACAUCCUUUUUGUGAAAAAUCUCUUUCUCCAGAAGUUACUCCACCUGAGACCAUCGAACCAAAUCUUGAGGAGAUGGCCAAUCAACCUCCUCCCAAACGCACUCUAGGGGAUGCAGCUA